CCCGCAGAACCUGGAUAUUCGGGUCUUCUGGGAAAACAGCACAGGUUCAGAAGGUCACGGGGGAGUGGGGCUAGGAGGUGUGAGUAAGCCUGGUCCUUCCUGGGGGUGCUCCAGAGGCCUGUGGACAAGGAAGUGCUAGAGGACCUGGCCCCAAGCCCUACCCAGGAAUAACACCUCAUCACAUCUGGUCUCCAGGUGUCUUGCUGAUAGUUCUACAGGAAUGGUUGGGAAGGCAAGGAAGAAAUAGAUGUUCUUAUUACAAAAUUGAACUAUGCCUGAUGUAAUAGGUUUUCUUCUGUGUGCUUACCUUGGAGUGGUUUUGAUAUGCCCAUAACGCGACCCAUAAAAACAUAAUGUGUGACAGUGUUAGUUGCUCAGUCAUGUCCGAUUCUUUCCAAUCGAAUGGGCUGUAGCCCGCCA
ensembl:lncRNA